UCUUCAGAGGGGGACUCUGUCACGCGGUGAGGAAAGAAGCCUGGAAGUUCCUGUUGGGAUAUUUCCCAUGGGACAGCACGCUGGAGGAUAGGAAGGUCCUGCAGAGGGACAAAACAGAUGAAUACUGCAGUAUAUUUCUCCAGAGAUGAAUACUACAGUAUAUGUCUCCAGAGAUGAAUACUGCAG